UACGUAGGGUGCAAGCGUUGUCCGGAAUUAUUGGGCGUAAAGAGCUCGUAGGCGGUUUGUCGCGUCUGCUGUGAAAACGCGAGGCUCAACCUCGCGCCUGCAGUGGGUACGGGCAGACUAGAGUGCGGUAGGGGAGAUUGGAAUUCCUGGUGUAGCGGUGGAAUGCGCAGAUAUCAGGAGGAACACCGAUGGUGAAGGCAGAUCUCUGGGCCGUUACUGACGCUGAGGAGCGAAAGCGUGGGGAGCGAACAGG
rnacentral:rRNA from 1 species